rnacentral:rRNA from 1 species
GUUUGAUCAUGGCUCAGGACGAACGCUGGCGGCGUGCUUAACACAUGCAAGUCGAACGAUGAACCACUUCGGUGGGGAUUAGUGGCGAACGGGUGAGUAACACGUGGGCAAUCUGCCCUUCACUCUGGGACAAGCCCUGGAAACGGGGUCUAAUACCGGAUACUGACCGGCCUGGGCAUCCAGGCGGGUCGAAAGCUCCGGCGGUGAAGGAUGAGCCCGCGGCCUAUCAGCUUGUUGGUGAGGUAAUGGCUCACCAAGGCGACGACGGGUAGCCGGCCUGAGAGGGCGACCGGCCACACUGGGACUGAGACACGGCCCAGACUCCUACGGGAGGCAGCAGUGGGGAAUAUUGCACAAUGGGCGAAAGCCUGAUGCAGCGACGCCGCGUGAGGGAUGACGGCCUUCGGGUUGUA